UCCCUCAGGUAAAGGGCUGGGAAUCUCUGAUCUGACUGCUCUGAAGAGAGAGACACAGGAUGCCCCCAACGGAAAAACCAUCCAUGUAAAAGAUUGGCACGUGUGUUGGCCAUGUGUCCAAGGGCUGCCUGUCUUCGGGUCUUGCUGUGCCUGUGGCUCCUGCUGCCCAAGCUCUCCUGCACCACCCUGCUCUGCCACUUCUGCCCACCUCACCGGCUGGAAGAUCCCUGCAAUGCCACAGAGACGGAGUGCCAGCCAGAGGAGCGCUGCUACACUGGCAUCGGCUAUUAUGGUGGCCUGGAGCAGCUUUCUGCACAGGGAUGUGUGCUAAAGGAGCUCUGUGGCUUAGAGCGCCCCCUCUCCUUCAGGGGGGUGAACUACACCAUGAGGCAUGCCUGUUGCUCUUUGGGCCUCUGUAAUGGAUCCCCAGAGUCUGCUGAUCCCUGGGCCCCCACCUGCCUACUGCUGUACACUGUGAUCACUCUACUGUGCUCCAGAGGGGUCUUCUAGCCCUUUUAAACUGUGCAGCCUCAAGGACAUCUCCAAUUGUUAAUACAAUACAAGGAACAUUUCUGGGCUCGAUGACACCAGCUGGAUGGCCACAGUCCUUCAGGUGUGGUGCGUCUUUACAAAUUGCUGCCUGGCUUGGCCUGGAAACACUUUAUCUUGACAAAUAAUGUGUUGGGUUAGGUUACUUAGAGCUGGCAUAAAAUCCAGGAAGACCUUUAUGUCUGGUGCUGGCAGCUGCUGCUGUACCAAAUGGAGCUGCUGGUGUAGCCAGUCACAAUUGCAUGUCUUUUGCAUAGAUCAGAUGUUGGAGAUUAAUAAAGCUGCUUAGCACACCUGAAUGCUAACUGCUUUUGUCUCGCUCCCAAAUUCCAGGCUGUACUGGGAGCAACUGGACCACCCUGAAUUACUCAUUGCAGAAGUUUUAUCCAUUAUUAAAUAAGGGAGUGGUUCUUGCAUUUUUACCAGUAGCUCCUCCCCUCUUUUCCGAGUUACUGCAGAGCUUGUGGAAGUUUUACCAAUGGCUGGUCUGUUCAAUCAAUGUGCCCAGGAUCCUUGACCCCUAAGCUCAGUACUGGGAAAAUGUCUUUAUUAACAUGCGUACAAUACUGAGGAAU